rnacentral:rRNA from 1 species
AUACGGAGGAUGCAAGCGUUAUCCGGAUUUAUUGGGUUUAAAGGGAGCGUAGGUGGGAUAUUAAGUCAGCUGUGAAAGUUUGGGGCUCAACCUUAAAAUUGCAGUUGAUACUGGUUUCCUUGAGUACGGUAUAGGUGGGCGGAAUUCGUGGUGUAGCGGUGAAAUGCUUAGAUAUCACGAAGAACUCCGAUCGCGAAGGCAGCUCACCGGGCCGGAACUGACACUGAUGCUCGAAAGUGCGGGUAUCAAACAGGAUUAGAUACCCUGGUAGUCCGCACAGUAAACGAUGAAUACUCGCUGUUUGCGAUACACUGUAAGCGGCCAAGCGAAAGCGUUAAGUAUUCCACCUGGGGAGUACGCCGGCAACGGUGAAACUCAAAUGAAUUGACGGGG